rnacentral:tRNA from 1 species
UCGGGGGUCGUCCAAUGGCAGGACAACGGCCUUUGGAGCCGUGAAUCUCCGUUCGACCCGGAGCCCCCGAA